CUGGUCCUCCCCGGGAGGAAUUUCUCGCUGGUAUUUAAAGAGGAGGGGGGGGGAGGGGCCGCUCUAUCCGGUUGAACUCGAUGGUUAGAACUUCCGGUGUCUCCGGCAGUGAUUUCCGGUGACGAUGCCGUACGCCAACCAGCCCACAGUUCGCAUCACCGAACUCAGCGACGAGAACGUCAAGUUUAUUGUGGAGAACACGGACCUGGCGUGAGUCACCGGCACCCCCAAACCGAGAGACACCCCCAAACCGAGAGAGACCCCCAAACUGAGAGAGACACCCC